rnacentral:rRNA from 1 species
AGUCGAACGAGUGAGAUGAGCCCCGUAUACGGGGGUACACGAGUGGCGAACGGGUGAGUAACACGUGAGCAACCUGCCCUUGACUUCGGAAUACCAGCUGGAAACAGCUGCUAAUACCGGAUAUGACCUCUGCCCUCAUGGGUGGGGGUGGAAAGCUCCGGCGGUCAGGGAUGGGCUCGCGGCCUAUCAGCUUGUUGGUGAGGUAAUGGCUCACCAAGGCUUCGACGGGUAGCCGGCCUGAGAGGGCGACCGGCCACACUGGGACUGAGAUACGGCCCAGACUCCUACGGGAGGCAGCAGUGGGGAAUAUUGCACAAUGGGCGCAAGCCUGAUGCAGCAACGCCGCGUGCGGGAUGACGGCCUUCGGGUUGUAAACCGCUUUCAGUAGGGACGAAGCUAACGUGACGGUACCUACAGAAGAAGGACCGGCUAACUACGUGCCAGCAGCCGCGGUGAUACGUAGGGUCCGAGCGUUGUCCGGAAUUAUUGGGCGUAAAGGGCUUGUAGGCGGUCCGUCGCGUCAGGAGUGAAAACUCGGGGCUUAACCCCGAGCCUGCUUUUGAUACGGGCGGACUAGAGGGAUGCAGGGGAGAACGGAAUUCCUGGUGGAGCGGUGGAAUGCGCAGAUAUCAGGAGGAACACCGGUGGCGAAGGCGGUUCUCUGGGCAUUACCUGACGCUGAGAAGCGAAAGCGUGGGGAGCAAACAGGCUUAGAUACCCUGGUAGUCCACGCCGUAAACGGUGGGCACUAGGUGUGGGGGACAUUCCACGUUCUCCGUGCCGAAGCUAACGCAUUAAGUGCCCCGCCUGGGGAGUACGGCCGCAAGGCUAAAACUCAAAGGAAUUGACGGGGGCCCGCACAAGCGGCGGAGCAUGCGGAUUAAUUCGAUGCAACGCGAAGAACCUUA